GGGACAGCCUCGGGAAACCGUGGGUAAUACCGGAUACUCCGGGACGGCCGCAUGGCCGGCCCGGGAAAGCCCAGACGGGAGGGGAUGGGCCCGCGGCCUGUUAGCUAGUCGGCGGGGUAACGGCCCACCGAGGCGAUUAUGGGUAGCCGGGUUGAGAGACCGACCGGCCAGAUUGGGACUGAGACACGGCCCAGACUCCUACGGGAGGCAGCAGUGGGGAAUCUUGCGCAAUGGGCGGAAGCCUGACGCAGCGACGCCGCGUGCGGGACGAAGGCCUUCGGGUCGUAAACCGCUUUCAGCAGGGACGAGGCCCUCACGGUGACGGUACCUGCAGAAGAAGCCCCGGCUAACUACGUGCCAGCAGCCGCGGUAAUACGUAGGGGGCGAGCGUUAUCCGGAUUCAUUGGGCGUAAAGCGCGCGUAGGCGGCCUGUUAGGUCGGGGGUCAAAUACCGGGGCUCAACCUCGGUCCGCCCCCGAUACCGGCAGGCUUGAGUCUGGUAGGGGAAGGCGGAAUUCCCAGUGCAGCGGUGGAAUGCGUAGAUAUAUGGAAGAACACCAGUGGCGAAGGCGGCUCUCUGGUCUGCAACUGACGCUGAGGCUCGAAAGCAUGGGUAGCGAACAGGAUUAGAUACCCUGGUAGUCCAUGCCGUAAACGAUGAGUGAUAGGUGUUGG
rnacentral:rRNA from 1 species